AUGUCAACGAGCUGCGUUACAAUAUGCGCGUGGGCCAUCAGUUGGGUUUCGACAGCGCGCACGCGUUCGCCGCUUCCCUUCGCAUUACGUCACUUAUUAGGCGCGUCUUUCACGCUCCGUCACCCGUUCUCGAUCGGUGCCUUUUUCAGUUCCGAUUCGGCUCGCGCCUCCCUUCCCGCCAGGUCCGAACCAACGCUCCACACGGGGAAUGACAUUACCGUUCAGAAAAAAAAAAAUAUAUUAAUUACGCGACCCGGCUCUGCAAAACAUUCCACGGGCUUUGAGGUUGUGCCGUGGGCCGUUUGCUUCGCAGACUUUCCCGGGUCUGUGGCGCAGCCAUGGCGAGGCGGCGGAGACGAAAGGAGACGAAUCGCUUAGGAAGCGGCUGUGGCUUCGGCGCAGCGUCGCCACUAAAUCGGAAGGGCCAUAUAUUCAUAUUAGCCUAAGGUGGCAGCAGCAUGAUGUCACGGGCGCUGCGGGGCCACAAAUCACAGAUGCUGGGAGCCAGGGGAUUUCCUCACUGUCGCUCGACGUUUUGAAAAUUGUGACAUGUGGAGCUCUUUUCCCAGGCUGUGUGAUGAGCAGGAGGAUCCUCCCAUGAUGAUCCAUGUGGUGGGACCCACUGGACUCUGUCUGUUCUGGUCCACGGCGAUCGAGAGGUGGGAGGGCUGUGGAUUUAUCACCCCCCCCGCUGGCAGCCCGGCCUCACGGGUGGCUGAGUACUAAGCCGGAGGAGGUGUUCGCACCGGGGACCGACCUUCUCCGAGUGCCUCACCGGAUGCUCGAGAGAGGAAGGAGACGCCUUGAAAACACAACAGAAGAAGGAACAAUGUUGGAUCGCUGUGACGGCAGGACCAGCUGGACACACCGCACUGCGCAUCCCGGCGAAGAACGCUCGUGGCCGUGCUGGGGGGGGGCGGGGAGGGGUUGAAGAUGGGGCUCCGCCAUCUGCCUCCUGCUCGUGACAGCGCCUGGGGCUGACCCCCCAGGGGAAAUAGCUACGGAUAAGUUAUUCAAUUAGAGGGGCAUUAUUGGCUCAGCAGCGCAGGGAGCAGGGCUGAUGGCGAUGUGAUUAUCCCCUCCUGCAUUCCGUCGUGUCCCUGGCAGCUCGGCCUACCGCGGCACCUAGGAGACACACUCCCUGGAUGGGAGGUGAAAGCUGAGACUCGAUGGGGGUGGGGGGGAGCGGCAGAGGAAAUGGAGUGAGGGUUAGAAACGGCGGUCUAUCAGAGAUGCCUGACCGGUUUCAAAUGAAGCUCCCCGGAACCCGGGCCACUGGUCAUACGCUCCCGCUGAGACGGGCGGAGCGGCAGGGCCAGGGAGAGGAGCGUCGAGAGGAGAUGUAUGGCAGAAAGCUGGCAGCACCGGAAGAGAAGGG
rnacentral:lncRNA from 1 species